rnacentral:rRNA from 1 species
GCAUAAUCUCUGAGGAGAAAAGCAGGGGAUCGCAAGACCUUGCGCUUUUGGAGCGGCCGAUGUCUGAUUAGCUAGUUGGUGAGGUAAAGGCUUACCAAGGCUUCGAUCAGUAGCUGGUCUGAGAGGACGACCAGCCACACUGGGACUGAGACACGGCCCAGACUCCUACGGGAGGCAGCAGUGGGGAAUUUUGGACAAUGGGGGAAACCCUGAUCCAGCCAUGCCGCGUGAGUGAAGAAGGCCUUCGGGUUGUAAAGCUCUUUCAGCCGGAACGAAAAGGUUACGGUUAAUACCCGUGACUAAUGACGGUACCGGAAGAAGAAG